rnacentral:rRNA from 1 species
GCAGCAGCCGCGGGAAUACGGAGGGUGCAAGCGUUAAUCGGAAUUACUGGGCGUAAAGCGCACGCAGGCGGUUUGUUAAGUCAGAUGUGAAAUCCCCGGGCUCAACCUGGGAACUGCAUUUGAAACUGGCAAGCUAGAGUCUCGUAGAGGGGGGUAGAAUUCCAGGUGUAGCGGUGAAAUGCGUAGAGAUCUGGAGGAAUACCGGUGGCGAAGGCGGCCCCCUGGACGAAGACUGACGCUCAGGUGCGAAAGCGUGGGGAGCAAACAGGAUUAGAUACCCCGGUAGUCCCUGUCUCUUAUAC